rnacentral:lncRNA from 1 species
UCGGGCAUGUCAAUGUGUCCCCCUUUCUGCCAGAUCUGCCGCUUUAGCCAUCCAGUCUUCGACUGUGGGUUGUGUAACUAUGCUUUUAUAAUGAUUUGCCUCUUUUUUUGGGGGGAAAGCAAAGAAAGCAGAGGGUGCCUUUUGCUGUAAAAUAAAUUCAAGCCCAAACAUCCGUGCGAGGCGGGAUCGAUUUUCCCCUACUCCGAGGCCUUUUCGUCGUUGUCCCCCCCGCCCCGCUUGCGUUUUCGCAACCCUGAAAAGCCUCGGACAUUCCUUUCCUUUUCCUUUGAAACGCGCANCGAUUCACCCUGCUAACCCGGCAGAGAGGGCACGCUCGCUGGUGAUGAGUCAGUGCUGGGAUUCCCUCGCGCGUCUUAUCGCUGACUCACAAUCGGGAGGGAGGGUGUGCCGACGUCGUAUAAAGAGCUUCAUGCGCACCCUGCUCACCAGAUGACGAGGAUUAACUGAUGCUUCGCAGCGCUUGGUGAGAACUUACUCCACCUCGACCUACCGGAUUAAAGAGUUGCAGUGGCUAAGUGUGCGGCAGCACCGAGAAUGGGAAAGCUCAAGGGCUGCGUGAUGCCCGUGGAUCCUCUGAACAAGUCUGGAUUACUCUGCCAGGCAUGUGGAUUCCUCCUGAUCAACCCGCAGCAAGCCGAAUGUGGCCAUCGUUACUGCCGGAGCUGCGUGAAUGGACUUUUCAGGGAUACAGCCAAGGUGGCGUGCCAUGCUUGUAAGAUAAAGCUGAGCCCCCAGCAGUUCCACAGCGACAAAAUAGCAGAGAACGAUGCUUUGGCCACACAGGUUGCCUGCCCAAAUUUUGACUGCUCUUGGACUGGAACCCUGAAAUCAUACCAGGUAUUUACUUUGUUUUUUAAGAUGAUUUUUAUUCUUCUUCCAU